GCCUGGCUGGCUCAGCACGUGGAGCAUGGGACUCCUGAUUUCAGGUCGUGAGUUCAAGCCCCAUGCAGGGUG
rnacentral:tRNA from 1 species